rnacentral:rRNA from 1 species
GACGAACGCUGGCGGCGUGCCUAAUACAUGCAAGUUGAGCGCUGAAGGUUGGUACUUGUACCAACUGGAUGAGCAGCGAACGGGUGAGUAACGCGUGGGGAAUCUGCCUUUGAGCGGGGGACAACAUUUGGAAACGAAUGCUAAUACCGCAUAAAAACUUUAAAAACAAGUUUUAAGUUUGAAAGAUGCCAUUGCAUCACUCAAAGAUGAUCCCGCGUUGUAUUAGCUAGUUGGUGAGGUAAAGGCUCACCAAGGCGAUGAUACAUAGCCGACCUGAGAGGGUGAUCGGCCACAUUGGGACUGAGACACGGCCCAAACUCCUACGGGAGGCAGCAGUAGGGAAUCUUCGGCAAUGGACGAAAGUCUGACCGAGCAACGCCGCGUGAGUGAAGAAGGUUUUCGGAUCGUAAAACUCUGUUGGUAGAGAAGAACGUUGGUGAGAGUGGAAAGCUCAUCAAGUGACGGUAACUACCCAGAAAGGGACGGCUAACUACGUG